UCCCGGCACGGGGAGGUAGUGACGAAAAAUAACGAUACGGGACUCAUCCGAGGCCCCGUGAUCGGAAUGAGCACACUUUAAAUCCUUUAACUAGGAUCAAUUGGAGGGCAAGUCUGGUGCCAGCAGCCGCGGUAAUUCCAGCUCCAAUAGCGUAUAUUAAAGUUGCUGCGGUUAAAAAGCUCGUAGUCGAAAUUGUGUCCCGGGCCGCCGGUUCGUCGCUCGCGACGCCAACUGGCGCGCACGCGGGACGUCCAGCCGGUACCACGAACCCGCCGACGGUGCUCUUAACCGAGUGUCCAGGCGGGGGCCGGCAAUGUUACUUUGAACAAAUUAAAGUGCUUAAAGCAAGCUAAACUGCGCUCGUAUAAUACUUGCAUGGAAUAAUCGAAUAGGACCUCUGUUCUAUUUUGUUGGUUUUUGUGGAACGCACAGAGGUAAUGAUCAAUGGGUGCGGAUGGGGGCAUUCGUAUUGCGACGUUAGAGGUGAAAUUCUUGGAUCGUCGCAAGACGCACUAAAGCGAAAGCAUUUGCCAAAAACGCUUUCAUCGAUCAAGAACGAAAGUUAGAGGUUCGAAGGCGAUCAGAUACCGCCCUAGUUCUAACCAUAAACUAUGCCAGCUAGCGAUCCGCCGCAGUUACUACUACGACUCGGCGGGCAGCUUUCGGGAAACCAAAGCUUUUGGGUUCCGGGGGAAGUAUGGUUGCAAAGCUGAAACUUAAAGGAAUUGACGGAAGGGCACCACCAGGAGUGGAGCCUGCGGCUUAAUUUGACUCAACACGGGAAACCUCACCAGGCCCGGACACAGAAAGGAUUGACAGAUUGAGAGCUCUUUCUUGAUUCGGUGGGUGGUGGUGCAUGGCCGU
rnacentral:rRNA from 1 species